rnacentral:tRNA from 1 species
UACCGGCAUUCGGACUCGAACCAAAAUCUUGCAGCUUAGAAAACUGUUGUACUUCCAAUUGUACUAUACCGGC